rnacentral:misc_RNA from 1 species
GAAGCAUUUUUGUGUGGAUGUAAUUGUCUCGCUCACUGCAUCUGCAUGCAUCAGUCUGUGAAAACACUUUUGGUUGUAGCCCAAAAAAAUUCGAAAAAUUCUUUAAGAUGGCUAUCUUAUUAUUGACAGAGUUAGCUAGUUAUAUAUAUAAUAUUUUUUGGUUAAAUCUUAUUGGGACUCUUAAUUGAUGUGUUUCGAUCCCUUGAAAGGAAAUUAGAAGCACUUUUGUUUGGAUGCAAUUAUCUUGUACUUUUGUGCUCACUGCAUGCAUUAUUCUGUAAAAAU